rnacentral:lncRNA from 1 species
UUGUCAUCGGCCCCUAUUGCGUCCAAAUAUCUCGCUUCCCACCACCACCAGAACCAUCACCGAAGUGAUCGCCGACCAAGAAGAGGACCGACCACUACAUCCUGAGGCUCGAUCUUUCUGACGCCUGGACGACUGCCAGAUCCAGCUCCCCUCUGCUUCGCCCCCCUACUCGUGCAGAAUCCCAACACAGAGGUGGUAACCCGAACUUGUAUGUUAAUUGGUUGGGUCAUAAACACAAACAGUUGAUCGUCACUUGGAUGUAGGACGAUUUUUCCUCCGCGCACACGUAUUUUGGGAUCAAGCAUAAAAAAAAAACCAGAUUUUAACAUAGCACACCUAACCUUGGCCAUCUGAUUAAUUUAGAGGUAAUUAUCGUUUUUCGCAUUUGUAUCAAAAAUAUUUGCUGCGUGACUUAAAAAGGUGCUUUUCUAUACAAGAAUAUGUUUAUAAAACCCUUCAGAAGUUUGUGGAUUAGGAUAUAUUCUUGAAUAUGUAAUCGCCUAUAAAACUUUUUUCCAGCCUAUGACAAAUGUGACCGCAAUGUUUAUCUCGAGCAAUAAGAGUUGCAUGAAACUUUUUUUUCUUGAUCUACACAAAGGAUUGCUUUUUCAUUUUAGUGUGAUCUUAAUUUAGCUACCUUGGAUAAUUUGGUAGUUUCUAUUCGAGCACCAUGUAUGCUAUUCAAGUUCCUUAGAUUUUAUACUAUUGUUCUUCUAAACUUGCUUCUCUGCUUAAAGAUCGCAAAUAUAAAGCUACUGGCUUAAGUGUGGAAUAAAAUUUUACAAAUCAUGUCAGGUCAGUUUGUCUUAUGGAGUAUAAUUUUUCACUGAUAGUCUUCCUGAACAUGUAAUGUGCUUUGUCGAAAAUCAUGUUUCACCAGUCUAUUCUUAUUGUUGAAUUAGAUAUAGCUAAAGAAGUCCGCUAUAUGAAGAAUACCGUCAAGAGAAUCCGUGGACUAGGUGUGGUACUGGUGGGUCAAAAAGCCAUUGUCAAACAUUUGUUCAUAACAAAAUUAAGGCUUGUGAGGAUGUUGGGAUAAUAUCUCUGAUUGCAGAAUUUCCUGAAGAUUGUGCAGAAGACUAAGUAGUAAUGCUGUGCCAACUUUAAUCAAGAUCCAUUAGUCCAUGGUGUCCUAAUGCAGCUCUACUUUUGCUGCAAGUAAUUUCAAGAACUACACUAGAACUUCAGGUUCAGAAGGUUGCAUUUUACUUUUUCUUCGUUCGCUUUAUUUGCUCGGUAACUUAGUUUCAUCCAAAGAUAACAUUCUAAUUGCUAAGAUGUACUCCAAAGUAAGCUGACCUCACUACUUUUUUUAUUGACUUGGAAUCCAAGAUUUGCCAUGAUAUGCACCUUCCUACCAUUUUCAUUGGACAUUGUGAUCUAUGUUUAAGAGUAUAUAGGUUUCUUUUAAUUUGAAAAGCAAUACCUCAGUUGGUCAAAGCUACUUUGUUUUUUAAUGCUGGACAAGUUGCAAGCAGCACAUAGAUGAAGAGAGAAUUUUGAGUGCUGUUUGUGAAAGAACGUUGAUGGUUUCCAUCUACUAAACAUGGGGAAUCUCACUUUGAGAGGCAGAGAGAACCUCUAUUCAUCAUCAGUGCUGCAAACGCUUGAACUGAGUUGCUACUCCGUUCAGGUGCCAACCGAUGGAAACAUUGACCUUUAUUGGGCAAAGCAAUGUUGUAGGCUUACCAUCUUAUUUGAUGUUGCACGUAUAACAUAACUUUUUUAAAAAUCUCUGUAUAAACAUUUAUGUUAAUUUCAAUGAGAUUUUUUUUUAAAUAGCUUAAAUAUUUUUUGGAUAAAAGAUUAGUGUAAAUGUUGAAGUAAUAAUACAAGGAGCCCUAUGGGCGACUUGAAAAAGGAAUUCAGUCUUCUAUGAUAUUACAUGUAUUCAAUGAUUGUCUACAAAUUAAUGGAAACAUCUCAUUCACUUUUAACUUUCAUUUUUAUUACUUUGAUACUUAAUUUAAGCAUUUUUAAUCGAUUUACAAAUAACAUGCUGUCAUUAAUUAAACUGAUUUCUUUAGGUCGAUAAUAUUUAAAUUAUGAAGCAGUUGUAAAUGACAGGUUCAACAAUUGAUAUUCAUUCAUAAAAAAUAGGCCCUUGCAAGAAUGGAGAUAAAAUCAUUGAAAUAGACUAAAAUUUCAUUACAUGGAACACACUCUUUUGGUUUCAACUAACCAAAUUGUAAACGUUUAUAGUUUGUGAUUAUUGGUUUGGACCUCUGCUUGUACCUUCUCAGUUGUUCUGCAAGCCAGAAUUAGUCGUGGACAUUCCAUGAUUGUCAUCCUUUAACUUCUUUUUCUCUUCACAGCUGUAACGACAUCCAUGACGCUGGGGCUUCUCAGGAUUUUCUGGAUCACUCUCACUAGGUUCCAUAAGCAAUGCCCGAAGGCAGCGUCUUCUAAUUCUGGGCUCACGAGUUGGUUUCUGGCUUUGGAUUGGCUUGGAAGGUGUCCUUUCAGUCUCCAGGGGUUCCACUGUUCUUUUGGAAACCAAGGUUUCCUUAGUUCUUGAGAGAUUCAAAUGGACGCCUGGGUUUCUGACACUGCAGGAACUUUCAUCAACAGCUGAGUUGUUGAUGCUUUGCACAUUGUUGUUAAUGCUGGUUGUAAAUGCCCCCUUUCCACUAUGCUGCCACUUUUCUUCACUGCAACUGCCUCUUGCAUCAACCUUCUCCUUGUUGAGCUUUUGAUCCUUGUGGGCAUGGUAGAAAUUCUCUCUAUCGGUACCCUCAUAACCUAUAAUCAUGGAUGCUCCACUGCUAUUGCCAGCCAAAGUAAGUACAUUUGUCGAUAGUCCAUUCCUCACCCCACCAGAAUAUCCAGUACCUAUCUUCUGUAACAGUUUAGAAAGCCCUUCCUUGAUCUCCCCCUUGAACAUGGCUCUCUUGCCAUCAUAGAAUGAAUCUUGUGAGAUACUUGAAAUUGCAAUUUUCUGUUCCUCUCUGGUGGAACCAUCUUUUGUAUGCUCGGCAGUAUCGGUAUCCUUCCUGUGUUCUGCAUUUGAGUUAAUGGAUAGUGAGACUAAUCCACUUUGUGUGGGGGAUGUGAUCAGGCUGUUCUCAGAUGUCGUGCUGAGUUGCUUGACUUCUCCCUGUUCCUUCGACUUGUUGCGUUCUCCAGUGAAGGGCUUCUCUUCUGUGUCUGGUGUUGUCCUAAGCUUGCCUCUAUUAGUCCCUUCAGGUGUUGAAUAUGAAUUUGGGGCUUUGGUGGGAUCCUUAGGGUGGUUUGUUGUUAACUUUAGUUUAUGCUUCUCUUCUGCAGUUUGUUUGUUUGUAUCUUCCAACUUUCGAGAUUGAGAAGGCUCGUUUUCUUCUAAUUUAAUCUUCUCUCUUUGUUCUUUAGGUGUUGACGGCUGGGGUACAGAGAUGGAGUACGAUUCUAGAGGUUUAUUCUCCAGCGAAUUGGUUGAUACAAGCGGCAAAUUUGGUUCCUGCAAAAUGUGGUUUCUUGUCGGCUUAGGAUUUGAAUCUUUUGCAAGAGGGAUAGCACGGGCCUGAGAUUUAGGAUGCAAUAUG